CGCGCGCCCGUGCGGGGACACGCGCGCGCGCGGGGCCGGCGGGGCCGAGGGGGCCGGUGAAGGGGGAAAUCUGCGAGUGCGCGUGUGCGGGAGCGCGCGCGGGGCGGGGAGAGACGGAGCGAGCCGGGGGGGGGGACGCGGGGGAAAGGACGAGACAGACAGACAGACACUCGUGACACCCCCCUCCGAGGGCUGAGGGCAGCGGGCGGGCGCCCGUGGCGGCGUGGCGCGAGGGACAGGCAUUUUCUGCUGGAUCCCCUCGGAUAUGAGCAGCACCACGGAAGCAAUGAGGGAACUCCUCCCCACCUCCUGCUCUGCCCACUUCAGACCCGCUGCCAGUUUGCUGCCAGUUUGCUGCAGGGCACGAGCUACCCCAGCCUGGGGACCUCCCUUACCUGGGAGGGCUCUGCCCAGGGGCUGCAGGAGUGCCAGGUGCCUGUUCCAGAGCCCAGCUGCACAUCCUGACUGCUCCAUCCCUGGGGGGGCUUUCCACGUCCCUUCCCGAGGCAGGUAGGCUGGUUAUCUGUUAGACAGGGAAAGAGCAGGCUCAGGAGAGGGGGAACACAGAGGAAAUGAGGCAGUUUCCUCUUUGUUUAUCCUGACCAAAAGCCUGUUGGGCUGCUCUGGCCCAGAUGCUGCAGAGCUCUCUCUGCCACUGGUGUGAAAAGAAGAAGGAAGGAAAAGUCUCCCAGGAAGUAAAAAACCAGUCAGUGCUGCCAUCAAUCACUCUGAAGCCACAAGGCUCCAGGGCUUUAGGUUAAAAACUGCCAGGCUUUUACCAACACUGGGCCCUCCAGCAUAGAUUUAUCACAGUAAUGUCCUGGACCCAAAAAUUCAGGGCUGACUUAACACCAAGCUAAACCAAUUCACACCUCUGAGGCCAUUCCCACCCAUUCCCGCUGUUCCUGUGCCCCCUGGAGCAGUACCAUAAACACAGGGAUGGUGGGAAAGGAGGAGUGAAUGCUCUGGGGGCUGCACAGCUGAGCCACCCUGGAGCAGGGGUAGGGAGGGACAGGCACCUUCCCAUGUGCUGCCUUGGGCUGGAGGGGCUAAAACCUGGAGCUGGAGAGUGGAAAGGGCACCAGAGGGUUACUGGCCAGGCUGGCACAGGGACUGAACCCCCAGUGACACUGCCAGGCAGCUCUUGUGCCAGCCUGGGCUCUUCCUCCCUCACCUGCAGCCUGUGUUUGCCCUUGUCCAUGUCCUUGUCCCUGUCCUCUGCCCUGCCCGGGUGACCUCCAGCUCUGCUGUCCCCAGGGGAGCCCGAGGGACACUUUUGGUCCCCGUGACCCUCCCCAGGCAGAUUUGCUGCUGCCACCUGGUGGGAACCAGCAGGGAAAGGCCCUGCUGCUCCUCUGCUUGGGUGACCUCGGGAAAGGGGACCUCUGGAAAAAGGGACCUCUGCAAAAGGGGACCUUUCCUGCCCUUCCUCCUGCCCCCGUGAGCAGCACAGCCCCAGCCUCCAUCACUCAGCCACACAACACCCCCCAGCCCCGAGAGCCUGGUGCUCAAUGUGACAAUCUGUUGGAAAAUCACGGAAUCCCAGGAAAGUUCAGGCUGGAAGGAACCUCUGGAGAUAUCCAGGCAGGGUCACCUACAAACCAGGUGGGAAAGGGGAGGAUCCAGGAGUACCUGGGGGAGGGAUUAAAAGCUGUCAAAUACACUAAAUUCAAAGUGUUUUGUGCAAACAGGUGACAAAAAUGAAGAAACACUGAGCAGAGAAAACAUUGCCCUCCCCAGAGCAAAACCUGCAGUCCCUGAGGAGCCCCCACACAGCAGAGAACUGGUAAAACUGCCCAAAACACGAAAUUCUUCCAUGCAGACAGUGGGAAUCCAGCUGGGACAGCCAGGCCAGGGGCCACUGGCUUUUCUGGUCACAGGUUUCUCCACCUUCCCUCAGGGGGCACCAUUUGGGACAACACUCUGUCCCGGUGUCCUGUGCAGGGCCAGGAGUUGGACUCUGAUCCUCAUGAGUCUCUCCCAGCUCAGGAUAUUCCACGAUUCCCAUCUGGAGCCAGGCCUCUGAGGACCAAUAAACAAUAGAAACAAGGGGUUCAUUGAACACACUCCAAACCAGGCCUAACACACCCCAAACAGCCCCAGUUCAGGAGCAGCUUUGGAGUGGGAUGAGUUCGUGGCACCUUUAGGCAUUCAGGGAGGCAGGGACAGGGGCAAGGAGCAGCUUGGGGAACGUUUGCAGAAGGAAUUACACCCAAAAGCAAAGGAAAGAGUGAUUAAUCAGACCCAGGGGACACCGACAGAGCCUCAGACACCUCCUCCAGAGAGGCAACAGCAGGAAACACUCCACACUCCCCUGGAACUCUGAACUGGAGGGAGAGGGAACGCAGAGCCCCGGGAGCUGAGCAGGGAUUUCAGCCCCACUGCUCGGAGCCCAACACCUGGAGUGUGAAACUAAAGCAGGAAACACUUUAAAAGGAGCCUUGGGAGAGCAGUGGAAGCUUCCCCAGAAGUGUCUGAAGCAGUAAAGCAGAAGAAUAAAGAACAAGAGCACCGGAGGGGGAAGAGAUCUGGAAGUUAUUUGGGAGUUCCUCGGCUGCCUGAAACACUUUGCAAGCUCAGGCACCUCAUCACUGCAGGAGCAUUCCCUGCCCAGCAGAAAAGGCAGGAAAGGCUUUCCAUGUCACCAGAAGUGAGGGCAACAAGUGCAAGGGGCUGAAAGGAGCCCACCAUCCCCAGCAGGUUCCACAGGAACCCCCAGGGCAGCAGUGACACCCACCCCAGGCUGUUGCUGAGGGAUAACAGAUCCCUGCAGGAUCAACAGGCUGGAACUGUGCAGGGAGAGCAGCAAAAGCCCUCACAGAAACAAGACACUCUUGUUAAAGGUAUUACCUUGGUGCAGGAAUUCAGACUCAUGUUCCAAGCUUCUAAUUCCUCAGGAUCAAGCCCCGUUUACCUGUGCCAGGUGACUCUCAUCCCGAUAAUCCAGCACGAGCAGGACGUGUCUUGCCCCACUGACCCAACCUUCAUUCUUCUGAGACAGCAGAGAAUAAAGCAACGACCCACACUGCCCCCCUCGGGCCUGUGACAUUUAUUGAAGGCUGGUUACACAAUCUCCCCCAUCACAUCUCCUCACAACUCGGCCUCCCGAAGUAAAAAAGAGCGUGGAUGUAACAGAGAAUUCUGCCCACCCCCGACUGCCUGAGCCAGAGCACCGAGUGCCCCUCCCUGUGCCAGGGCUGGCCUGGGAGAGCACCCCAUGGGCAGGAGGAACAGAGCAGGGGGCAGCAGCAGGGGGAAGAGAGGUCCUGACUGCAGCAGGAUUCCCUGCAGAGGAGCCACCUUCCCCUCCGUGCCUGGAAUCCAUGCACUGCACAGGGGAACCUCCUCACCCAGCACGGAGCUGUGCCCCCAGCUGCCAGGGCUGUGCUCCCCACAGGCACAGCAGAGCCACUGCCCCAAGCUGAGGAGUCCUUUUGCUCUCAGGUGACCCUGGAGAAGGACUGGCUGGCUGGAGCCCUGUCCCACAGUCCAGGCCCUGCCGUAGCGGCCUGAAGGCACUGAGGCAGCCGAGAGCCCUGAUGGAUCCGGCACAGGGAGUCACCCGGGCCACCUGCUCAUCCCAGGGGGGAGGAGACGGGAAACUCUGCUCCCGGUGCUCAGACUGCCUGGAAAGGGGCAAUUCUCAAACCUCGAGUGGUCGGUGGAGCCACAGCUCUGCCGCCCGUGGGAGGAGACGCAGCUCUGGUGUCAACGCGCGUUCGCUUUUAUUGGGUUACCAAUUGGAGAGAGGGGCUGAUUUCCGUUUCCUCUGCUUUUACCGACGAGGAAACCGCGAUGAUUUGGUUCUGGAGAGGGCUGAGCCGGCGGGGCAGGGGCCGCCGGGCUCACUGAGGCAGCUGCAGGAGCACGGACUGUCCGGAGGGCAGGUAGGUGAUGUUGCGGGAGCGCGAGAGCUGGUACGCGAUGUCCUCGGCCGCCUCCAGCUUGCGCAGCUCGAUCAGCCCGUCCCCGGCCGUGGCCAGGGAGUUGGCAAUGAGCUCUGCUGCCUUGGAGUCCCCCUCAGCAGAGAUCACUGCUGCCUUCUUCUGCUGCUCGGCCUGCAAGCGAAGGGAGAGGGUGAAGGGGUGAUUUCCUGCGAGGAAACGAGCAAACCAAAGAGCAAACCAAAGGCCGGUGCUGUUCCUGUGUUGGAAACCCCAGUCCCACCUCCCUGCCCUCCUGUUCUCUCCCUCAGGCAGAAAGGCAAGGUAAGUUCACUUUUUACUGUUUUUCUGCCUACUGUGGGGGGAAAAAGACAAUUCCAAGAUGAUUUUCAACCUCAGGAAACAUUAAUCCACCUGAGGGUGGAAAAUUGUCUAGGAGGGAUUGGAGACACCAAGAACCAAUUCCAAGUUUCUGAGAAGGCCAAGUUACCUUUUCCACAAUGAAUCUGGCUCUCUCUGCUU